rnacentral:rRNA from 1 species
GGUUAAAAAGCUCGUAGUUGGAUUUCUGUUGAGGAUGACCGGUCCGCUCUUUGAGCGCGUAUCUGGUUCAGCCUUGGCAUCCUCUUGGGGAACGCUACUGUGCUUGAUUGCAUGGGGCGGUAUUCAAGACUUUUACUUUGAGGAAAUUAGAGUGUUCACUGCAAGCGUUAGCAAUCGAAUACAUUAGCAUGGAAUAAUAAUAUAGGACCUUGGUACUAUUUUGUUGGUUUCUAGAACUAAGGUAAUGAUUAAUAGGGACAAUUGGGGGCAUUCGUAUUAACGCGUCAGAGGUGGAAUUCUUAGAUUGCGUUACGACGAACUACUGCGAAAGCAUUUGCCAAGGAUGUUUUCAUUGAUCAAGAACGAAAGUAUGGGGAUCGAAGACGCUUAGAUACCGUCGUAGUCUAUACCAUAAACUAUGCCAACUAGAGAUUGGAGGUCGUUCUCUUUAUGACUCCUUCAGCACCUUAUGAGAAAUCAAAGUCUUUGGGUUCCGGGGGGAGUAUGGUCGCAAGGCUGAAACUUGAAGGAAUUGACGGAAAAGGGCACCCACCAGG